rnacentral:rRNA from 1 species
GGACUACACGGGUAUCUAAUCCUGUUUGAUCCCCAUGCUUUCGUGCCUGAGCGUCAGUACCGGCCCAAUCUGCUGCCUUCGCCACUGGUGUUCUUCCGAAUAUCUACACAUUUCACUGCUACACUCGGAAUUCCACAGAUCUCUACCGGACUCAAGACUAAUAGUAUCAAAGGCAGUUUCGCCGUUGAGCGGCGAGAUUUCACCUCUGACUUACCAGUCCGCCUGCGCACCCUUUACACCCAGUAAAUCCGGACAACGCUCGGAUCCUACGUAUUACCGCGGCUGCUGGCAC